UACAGAGGUCUCAAGCGUUGUUCGGAUUCAUUGGGCGUAAAGGGUGCGUAGGUGGCGGGGUAAGUCAGGUGUGAAAUCUCGAGGCUCAACCUCGAAACUGCACUUGAUACUGCCUUGCUCGAGUACUGGAGAGGAGAUUGGAAUUUACGGUGUAGCAGUGAAAUGCGUAGAUAUCGUAAGGAAGACCAGUGGCGAAGGCGAAUCUCUGGACAAUUCCUGACGCUGAGGCACGAAAGCUAGGGGAGCAAACAGG
rnacentral:rRNA from 1 species